rnacentral:tRNA from 1 species
GGAGAGGUCGCAUAGUGGUCGAGUGCGCAUGUUUGGAGAACAUGUAUGCCCGCAAGGGUAUCGAGGGUUCGAAUCCCUCCCUCUCCG